rnacentral:rRNA from 5 species
AGACCCGAAACCCGGUGAUCUAGCCAUGGGCAGGUUGAAGGUUGGGUAACACUAACUGGAGGACCGAACCGACUAAUGUUGAAAAAUUAGCGGAUGACCUGUGGCUGGGGGUGAAAGGCCAAUCAAACCGGGAGAUAGCUGGUUCUCCCCGAAAGCUAUUUAGGUAGCGCCUCGUGAAUUCAUCUCCGGGGGUAGAGCACUGUUUCGGCUAGGGGGCCAUCCCGGCUUACCAACCCGAUGCAAACUGCGAAUACCGGAGAAUGUUAUCACGGGAGACACACGGCGGGUGCUAACGUCCGUCGUGAAGAGGGAAACAACCCAGACCGC